rnacentral:rRNA from 1 species
UACAGAGGCCUCAAGCGUUAGGCGGAAUCACUGGGCUUAAAGCGUGUGUAGGCGGAUCGUUAAGUGUGUUGUGAAAUCCCACGGCUCACCCGUGGAACUGCUGGGCAUACUGGCGAUCUUGGGCCAACUAGGGGCAACUGGAACAAGCGGUGGAGCGGUGAAAUGCGUAGAUAUCGCUUGGAACGCCGAAGGUGAAAACAGGUUGCUGGGGUUGUGCCGACGCUGAGACACGAAAGCCAGGGGAGCAAACGGG